rnacentral:rRNA from 1 species
AACGAACGCUGGCGGCAUGCCUAACACAUGCAAGUCGAACGAGAUCUUCGGGUCUAGUGGCGCACGGGUGCGUAACGCGUGGGAAUCUGCCCUUUGGUUCGGAAUAACAGUUGGAAACGACUGCUAAUACCGGAUGAUGGCGAAAGUCCAAAGAUUUAUCGCCAGAGGAUGAGCCCGCGUAGGAUUAGCUAGUUGGUGUGGUAAAGGCGCACCAAGGCGACGAUCCUUAGCUGGUCUGAGAGGAUGAUCAGCCACACUGCGACUGAGACACGGCCCAGACUCCUACGGGAGGCAGCAGUGGGGAAUAUUGGACAAUGGGCGAAAGCCUGAUCCAGCAAUGCCGCGUGAGUGAUGAAGGCCUUAGGGUUGUAAAGCUCUUUUACCCGGGAUGAUAAUGACAGUACCGGGAGAAUAAGCUCCGGCUAACUCCGUGCCAGCAGCCGCCGCAG